GAUGAAGAACGUAGCGAAAUGCGAUAAGUAAUGUGAAUUGCAGAAUUCAGUGAAUCAUCGAAUCUUUGAACGCACAUUGCGCCCGCCAGCACUCUGGCGGGCAUGCCUGUUCGAGCGUCAUUUCAACCAUCAAGCCCCCAGGGGCUUGUGCUGGGGCCCUGCGGCUGCCCGCAGGCCCUGAAAACCAGUGGCGGGCUCGCUAGUCACACCGAGCGCAGUAGCACAUCUCGCUCAGGGCGUGCGGCGGGCUCCUGCCGUGAAACCCCCCACUGUAACCCCAAAGGUUGACCUCGGAUCAGGUAGGAAUACCCGCUGAACUUAAGCAUAUCAUAGCGGAGGA
rnacentral:misc_RNA from 1 species